rfam:Corchorus olitorius cultivar O-4 contig04381, whole genome shotgun sequence.
GGGUAAUUAGCUCAAUUCGGUGGAGCAUCUGGCUGUUAACCGGAAGGUAAAGAGUUCGAACCUCUUAUUACCCG